AGCCAUACGCCAAUUAAGGCUAUAGUUCAGAACUGCUGUGUGGCGGUGUGUCCAAAUGCACAUACAUCCUAGCUACACGCGCAGAACUAGCCACACACUCGCUUCUAUGCAUGCAGCACGGCAGUAUGUACAUUUAACUUCGGAAGCCCCACAGAAAGUAAGUUAAUUCAUGAUAGACUUACUGCUAACAGUAGGGGUGUCGUCCACAUAGUCGCCGUCCGUGCAUUUUGGUGCAUUGUAUGUCGUUGGUUUCUGAAAGGUAUGAUAUAGUCCGAGGAAAUGGAGGACCUCGUGCAGGAGGGCCUGAGAGCCACUGUGGUAUGUUUCGGGAGUUCCCCGCAAGAACUCGUCCCAGGAUAUGAAGACAAUGGCCAAUUGUGGACUUAUGUCCGACCUGUAUGUAAGUGUCAGAUGCAUGGACUGGGGUGUGAGCGUAACAGUGAGAUAGGUAGGUAUAUAUGACCCAUGCACAUAUGAUUUACCAUGUAUGAUGUGUGAAACAGGGGGGUUUAUCUUCGCCCGUGGCAGCAACCCUGCGAAACCCUGCCUUCCCCGGCAUUUCGGGGCACCCUCAUCCAGUCACCCUAGUCAACUUCUCAGUGGAUCGCUCAAGUUCCGCACCCACCACCAGCAUCCAUCGGAAUCUGCCGGGUCGACAGCGGCACAACUCCAUUCCUGGUCGGCUCGCGGGUUAACUUUAUACCAGGUCACCACCGUCCGUCAACUAGGGGCGCAAUGCCUUCCACCAUCGGAAGGACCUUAGACCCUAACGGGUAUCGAUCCCGGGAUCUCCCGGGGGCAAUGGUCGCGUCUUACCAG
rnacentral:lncRNA from 1 species